GACUACUGGGGUAUCUAAUCCUGUUUGCUCCCCACGCUUUCGCACCUGAGCGUCAGUAUUGGUCCAGGAGGCCGCCUUCGCCACUGAUGUUCCUUCCGAUAUCUACGCAUUUCACUGCUACACCGGAAAUUCCGCCUCCCUCUCCCAUACUCUAGCAAUGUAGUUUCGGGUGCAGUUCCCAGGUUGAGCCCGGGGAUUUCACAUCCGACUUACAAAGCCGCCUACGUGCGCUUUACGCCCAGUAAUUCCGAUUAACGCUCGCACCCUCUGUAUUACCGCGGCUGCUGGCACAGAGUUAGCCGGUGCUUCUUAUGUAGGUUAAGUCAAGCUCCUGAUUUGUUAGAUCAAGAGUUUUCGUCCCUACCGAAAGGGCUUUACAACCCGCAGGCCUUCUUCACCCACGCGGCGUCGCUGGAUCAGGGUUUCCCCCAUUGUCCAAUAUUCCCCACUGCAGCCACCCGUAGG
rnacentral:rRNA from 1 species